AUGCAGAGGUGCGCGUCGUACGACGAUCAGCGAGCAGAGGUGCAGUGCUCGUCGUCUUGUAUGCCGGAACUAGAUGUGCGCCCUCUCCAUGGCCAUCGCAACCAGGGUUCGUUAGUCGCAUGGCCAAGCUGCAAUUGGCCACGGGGGCAACGAAUCUGUGCUGGAACCAGGUUUUUGUUUUGCUGGAUCCAUCCAUUUGUUUUGCUACAACCCCUUUCUCUUUUUUCUACCAUCCCCAUUCGAUUUCUAAUGAACAUUUGGAUUUUUGCUGGAACCGGGCCCGUUUUUGCUGGAACCAAUUGGUGGAUAUGCUGCAAGGUCGACACCACGCCGGAGGAAGCUGCAUCUAGUGGCAAGGAGGGUUGCGGCCAACGCCGUUCGAACGCCGGAAGUUGCAACCGUGUACGCUGGAGCUACAACCGGCGACUGGGGGAGCUGCAAGAGGGGUGGCUGUUUUUUGCUGAACAGUUUUCUUUUUUUGCUGGAACUGAUGUAUUGUUUUGCUGGAACCGAGAUAAAUUUUUGCUUCAUUGGCUGCAGAGUUCUCAAACGCUCUUGUCAUUUUUGCUGGAACCUAAGUUUGGUUUUGCUGGAAGCGUUUUUUGA
rnacentral:rRNA from 1 species